AUUGAACGCUGGCGGCAUGCUUUACACAUGCAAGUCGAACGGUAACAGGCCGCAAGGUGCUGACGAGUGGCGAACGGGUGAGUAAUGCAUCGGAACGUGCCCAGGCGUGGGGGAUAACGCAGCGAAAGCUGUGCUAAUACCGCAUACGAUCUAUGGAUGAAAGCGGGGGACCGUAAGGCCUCGCGCGAUUGGAGCGGCAGAUGUCAGAUUAGGUAGGUGGUGGGGUAAAGGCUCACCAAGCCAACGAUCUGUAGCUGGUCGGAGAGGACGACCAGCCACACUGGGACUGGGACACGGCCCAGACUCCUACGGGAGGCAGCAGUGGGAAUUUUGGACAAUGGGCGCAAGCCUGAUCCAGCAAUGCCGCGUGCAGGAAGAAGGCCUUCGGGUUGUAAACUGCUUUUGUACGGAACGAAAAGGUUUGGGUUAAUACCCUGGGCCGAUGACGGUACCGUAAGAAUAAGCACCGGCUAACUACGUGCCAGCCGCCGCGGUAAAAC
rnacentral:rRNA from 1 species